CUGCGAAUGGCUCAUUAUAUAAGUUAUCGUUUAUUUGAUAGUACCUUACUACUUGGAUAACCGUGGUAAUUCUAGAGCUAAUACAUGCUGAAAAUCCCGACUCCGGAAGGGAUGUAUUUAUUAGAUUAAAAACCAAUGCCCUCUGGGCUCCUUGGUGAUUCAUAAUAACUUUUCGAAUCGCACGGCCUUGCGCCGGCGAUGGUUCAUUCAAAUUUCUUCCCUAUCAACUUUCGAUGUUUGGGUAUUGGCCAAACAUGGUCGCAACGGGUAACGGAGGGUUAGGGCUCGACCCCGGAGAAGGAGCCUGAGAAACGGCUACUACAUCCAAGGAAGGCAGCAGGCGCGCAAAUUACCCAAUCCCGAUUCGGGGAGGUAGUGACAAUAAAUACUGAUACAGGGCUCUUUUGGGUCUUGUAAUUGGAAUGAGUACAAUUUAAAUCUCUUAACGAGGAACAAUUGGAGGGCAAGUCUGGUGCCAGCAGCCGCGGUAAUUCCAGCUCCAAUAGCGUAUAUUAAAGUUGUUGUGGUUAAAAAGCUCGUAGUUGAACCUUGGGCCUGGCUGGCCGGUCCGCCUCACCGCGUGCACUGGUCCGGCCGGGCCUUUCCCUCUGUGGAACCCCAUGCUCUUCACUGAGUGUGGCGGGGAAACAGGACUUUUACUUUGAAAAAAUUAGAGUGCUCCAGGCAGGCCUAUGCUCGAAUACAUUAGCAUGGAAUAAUAAAAUAGGACGUGUGGUUCUAUUUUGUUGGUUUCUAGGACCGCCGUAAUGAUUAAUAGGGACAGUCGGGGGCAUCAGUAUUCAAUUGUCAGAGGUGAAAUUCUUGGAUUUAUUGAAGACUAACUACUGCGAAAGCAUUUGCCAAGGAUGUUUUCAUUAAUCAGGAACGAAAGUUAGGGGAUCGAAGACGAUCAGAUACCGUCGUAGUCUUAACCAUAAACUAUGCCGACUAGGGAUCGGACGAUGUUAUUUUUUGACGCG
rnacentral:rRNA from 1 species